rnacentral:rRNA from 1 species
AGAACGAACGCUGGCGGCAGGCCUAACACAUGCAAGUCGAGCGAUUGCAGCAAUGCAGGAGCGGCAGACGGGUGAGUAACGCGUGGGAACAUGCCUUUCGGUUCGGAACAACCCGGGGAAACCCGGGCUAAUGCCGGAUACGCCCUUUUGGGGAAAGAUUUAUCGCCGAAAGAUUGGCCCGCGUCUGAUUAGCUAGUUGGCGGGGUAAAAGCCCACCAAGGCGACGAUCAGUAGCUGGUCUGAGAGGAUGAUCAGCCACAUUGGGACUGAGACACGGCCCAAACUCCUACGGGAGGCAGCAGUGGGGAAUAUUGGACAAUGGGCGCAAGCCUGAUCCAGCCAUGCCGCGUGAGUGAUGAAGGCCUUAGGGUUGUAAAGCUCUUUACCUGGGAAGAUAAUGACGGUACCAGGAGAAUAAGCCCGGCUAACUUCGCGCCAGCAGCCGC